CCUACGGGAGGCAGCAGUGGGGAAGUAUUGGACAAUGGGCGAAAGCCUGAUCCAGCAAUGCCGCGUGAGUGAUGAAGGCCUUAGGGUCGUAAAGCUCUUUUACCCGGGAUGAUAAUGACAGUACCGGGAGAAUAAGCCCCGGCUAACUCCGUGCCAGCAGCCGCGGUAAUACGGAGGGGGCUAGCGUUGUUCGGAAUUACUGGGCGUAAAGCGUGCGUAGGCGGUUAUUCAAGUCAGAGGUGAAAGCCCGGGGCUCAACCCCGGAACGGCCUUUGAAACUAGGUAGCUAGAAUCUUGGAGAGGUCAGUGGAAUUCCGAGUGUAGAGGUGAAAUUCGUAGAUAUUCGGAAGAACACCAGUGGCGAAGGCGACUGACUGGACAAGUAUUGACGCUGAGGCACGAAAGCGUGGGGAGCAAACAGGAUUAGAUACCCUGGUAGUCCACGCCGUAAACGAUGAUAACUAGCUGUUCGGGUACUUGGUAUCUGAGUGGCGCAGCUAACGCAUUAAGUAUCCGCCUGGGGAGUACGGUCGCAAGNUUAAAACUCAAAGGAAUUGACGGCNGAGACNGCGAGACGACACGAGGAGAG
rnacentral:rRNA from 1 species